GACGAACGCUGGCGGCGUGCUUAACACAUGCAAGUCGAACGGAAAGGCCCUGCUUUUGUGGGGUGCUCGAGUGGCGAACGGGUGAGUAACACGUGAGUAACCUGCCCUUGACUUUGGGAUAACUUCAGGAAACUGGGGCUAAUACCGGAUAGGAGCUCCUGCUGCAUGGUGGGGGUUGGAAAGUUUCGGCGGUUGGGGAUGGACUCGCGGCUUAUCAGCUUGUUGGUGGGGUAGUGGCUUACCAAGGCUUUGACGGGUAGCCGGCCUGAGAGGGUGACCGGCCAAAUGGGGACUGAGAUACGGCCCAGACCCCUACGGGGGGCAGGAGUGGGGAAUAUUGCACAAUGGGCGGAAGCCUGAUGCAGAAACGCCGGGGGCGGGAUGACGGCCUUCGGGUUGUAAACCGCUUUCGCCUGUGACGAAGCGUGAGUGACGGUAAUGGGGAAAGAAGCACCGGCUAACUACGU
rnacentral:rRNA from 1 species